ACCUUGGGGGUUAAAAUUGUGAAAGGAAUGCAAGCAAUGAAACUCCACGUCAUUUCCCUUUGAUUCCACCAGAGAGUGCUUGUGCGGCAGCUCCGUCUCUCUUUUUGGCUCUUAAUAAUCAACCAUAUAUAAAAACUGGUUUGGAGGGGGGGUGAGGAGGGGGGGAGUGGAAGCUUGGAACAGAGCCAGGUUUCCAAUUAUCAAACUUCUAAAGCUUGCCGAUGCAUCAGUUGCCAGUGAGUCAGACUGCGAUAAACACCUUUUCUCAUCCAUACACUCAACGGUGCUGGAAAGAGAAUCUAGCCAGGCGUAAUUUUUUUGCAGCAGGGUCGGAGGGCACGUGGCAGAUGCCUGUUAAAGGGGUGGGCUCAGCUUUUGAUUCCUGAUCCCCUCCGCUAGUUCCUCCUGCUCACCUUGGCUCCCUGUUCCUAUGCUCGGAAGGUGCGCGGGAGGAGCUUCGGCCCAGGAUAUUCUUUUUAUACACUCUUAAGUGAUCUUGGACUCCUUUGCACAUUAAGAAUUUAACCGAAGCCAUGUUUUGGUGCCAGAAACACAACAUUUCAUUAAAUGCUUCCUGUACUUUUCAAAACAAACCCGAAAGCUUAAAACGAGACAGUUUUUGUUAAAGGGAAUUAAAAAAGGAAAAAAAGCAACCCAGUGUCUUGAUAACGAAACUCUGUGUGGAAUGUUAUUCGGGCUAGAGCAGGGUUGGACACCCCCGGGCCAGAAAGACAGGGACGUCUGGAUGUCAAUUGGUGUGCAAGUUAGCUGGAUUUGAUGGGUGGUUCUUUUUUUUUCUUCUUUAUCAGAUGCAAAACUUUUUAAAAAGUUACUUGGGUACAAUGAAGUCUUAUUAGAGUUAAGGAGAAUAUUUCAGGGAUCCUCAAAUCUUUUUGUUGUUGUUUUUAUUUUUAUGAAUUAAAAAAAAUUAUCAGAUUUGGUGAAUAUAUUUUAUCUUAAUUUUCUGUGUGUUGUAUGUGUCACGGUUAACCAUACAGCUGACUGUUAAUGAAAGGCUGGGAUUCUAGGUCUCUCUGUAAACACUGUGGUGCACUUAACUUGUGGACUUUUUAUACUAAAAACAAGUAGAAUAAAGGCUAUUUUGAAAAAUUUGAAUAAAGCGACAAAGUUGAGUGUA